AAUGUUACACUCAACCUGCUACACCGGUGGAUUCGUGCCACCACGUACUAGUGGGGGGAGGGGCUAUCACCCCGACGCAAUCCGCUUUCGAAAGUCGAUAAUGAAACUGGUGGCCCGGUGAGGGGAGCGUGGAGAAGUGAGGGUGACUGUUAUAUCGCCUACGGGCUGCGUCCCUGUGGUCAAGUAGAUACGUUCCUAUUCGAUCAGCCGCAGCAUUGAACCUGCAAUAAUGAGAAUGAUGGAGUAAAGGGCUUUGGAGCCAAUGGAAGGUUCUAUCUGAUGCUGGAUAUCACUUUCGAGAAUUGUCGGUGAUUAAAUGUUAAUUGGGAUUCUGGGGAUAACAUUAUAUCCUGUUAAUAGCCUUAUUAACUGCAUACGGAAAUCAAAGGAAAUAAGAAAUGAGUAAAUAGUGGAAUUUGUAAUCACUGCACCAAAUCACUGCGCCUUAAUUCAAUUGUAAUAACAGGAUACUCUGCGCCAAUUUCUCAGUAUGAGAAUAAGUUUCAUUAUGAAUUAGGUUUUAAUGGUCUUAUAAUAAAGUUACUCGAGCAUUAUUUGUAUGCACAUGUGUGCAUCAUAUGUCGUUCUGGAUAUGACACAUUAUUAUAACUACGGAAUAUUUGAGCAUAUGAAUUGAAACUCCUAAAUAGAGCUGUGGGACACCCCCGCGUUUUAAUGCGUAAUUCUUUUUUUCAACAAUAAAAUGUCAUCACGGAACGUCAAGUAAACAAUUUCCAAUUAAUUUUAGGCAUUGCGACCCCUCUAAAUAUGAUCUUGAUCUUGUAUCUUUCCCGAGUCUCAUGGAAUUUAUGUUUUUGCGGUCGCUAAUUCCGAGUUUGUCGGUUAUUUAGAAAAGCCUACGUUCUGUUUAUUAUUAACAAUCUAAUUGUUUAAAGCACCGUACCACCUUAACUAUGAGGGUUAGACGGAAAAUUUCAAAUGAUGAAUUAUGGAGAAUUCGAUAGGGUAUGAUUUUUGUCAUAACAAUUUAAACAAUCAAAUUGUUGACAAUAAAUGGAACGCUGGAUUUUUCUUAAAUAACUGACAAAUUCUUCAUCAGUCACCCAAAAAACAUAAAUUCCACGAAACUCGGCGACUCCGAUGUUCAUACACGAUCAGCUCCAGCUUAUGCAUUACGGUACCCCACUCCAUUAGAUCAUACUUAGAGGGGUUGCAAUGCCUAAAAUUGAUUCAAAAUUAUUUACUUCAUAUUCCGUCAUCAUAUUUCAUUGUUUAAAAAAAAGAAUAACGCACUAGACCGCGAGUGGUUGAUACACUUCUGAAAAUCGGGGGUGCCCGCAGCUCUAAAUGGGAUUUAGGCGACUAUGAAGCUGACUAUUUCGCCUGUAUAUGUAGAUGAAUACACUAUUUCACUUUCUUUCA